rnacentral:rRNA from 1 species
CCUACGGGAGGCAGCAGUGAGGAAUAUUGGUCAAUGGACGAGAUUCUGAACCAGCCAAGUAGCGUGAAGGAUGACUGCCCUAUGGGUUGUAAACUUCUUUUAUAAAGGAAUAAAACGAGGCACGUGUGCCUUUUUGCAUGUACUUUAUGAAUAAGGAUAGGCUAAGUCCGUGCCAGCAGCCGCGGUAAUACGGAGGAUCCGAGCGUUAUCCGGAUUUAUUGGGUUUAAAGGGAGCGUAGAUGGGUUGUUAAGUCAGUUGUGAAAUUUUGCGGCUCAACCGUAAAAUUGCAAUUGAUACUGGCAGUCUUGAGUACAGUUGAGGUAGGCGGAAUUCGUGGUGUAGCGGUGAAAUGCUUAGAUAUCACGAAGAACCCCGAUUGCGAAGGCAGCUUACUAAACUGUGACUGACAUUGAUGCUCGAAAGUGUGGGUAUCAAACAGGAUUAGAUACCCUGGUAGUC